ACUCUAAGCGGUGGAUCACUCGGCUCAUGGGUCGAUGAAGAACGCAGCAAACUGUGCGUCAUCGUGUGAACUGCAGGACACAUGAACAUCGACAUUUUGAACGCAUAUCGCAGUCCAUGCUGUUAUGUACUUUAAUUAAUUUUAUAGUGCUGCUUGGACUACAUAUGGUUGAGGGUUGUAAGACUAUGCUAAUUAAGUUGCUUAUAAAUUUUUAUAAGCAUAUGGUAUAUUAUUGGAUAAAUAUAAUAAUUUUUAUUCAUAAUAUUAAAAAAUAAAUGAAAAACAUUAUCUCACAUUUGAAUGUGAAAAACGAAGAGAAAUAUUUUCUUUUUCAAUCAAAUAAUACUGAGAAAUGUCUAGCAUAAAAAAUUGAAAUAUUUUUCAUCUAGAAUUGUCUCUUAUUAAUGAUUCGGAAAUAGAAAAAUCUUGGUUAUGUUAUUAUUCUUCGUUGGUUCGUUAAAAAUGGAUAAAUAAAAACUUUGCAUACAAGAAUUAAUAAAAAUGUUAUAACGAAUUUAAUUAAAUGUUUUAUCAUUAUAUAUAAAGAAUUUAUGGCAAGAUAAAGUUAUAUACAACCUCAACUCAUAUGGGACUACCCCCUGAAUUUAAGCAUAUUAAUUAGGGGAGGAAAAGAAACUAACAAGGAUUUUCUUAGUAGCGGCGAGCGAAAAGAAAACAGUUCAGCACUAAGUCACUUUGUCUAUAUGGCAAAUGUGAGAUGCAGUGUAUGGAGCGUCAAUAUUCUAGUAUGAGAAAUUAACGAUUUAAGUCCUUCUUAAAUGAGGCCAUUUACCCAUAGAGGGUGCCAGGCCCGUAUAACGUUAAUGAUUACUAGAUGAUGUUUCCAAAGAGUCGUGUUGCUUGAUAGUGCAGCACUAAGUGGGUGGUAAACUCCAUCUAAAACUAAAUAUAACCAUGAGACCGAUAGUAAACAAGUACCGUGAGGGAAAGUUGAAAAGAACUCUGAAUAGAGAGUUAAACAGUACGUGAAACUGCUUAGAGGUUAAGCCCGAUGAACCUGAAUAUCCGUUAUGGAAAAUUCAUCAUUAAAAUUGUAAUAUUUAAAUAAUAUUAUGAGAAUAGUGUGCAUUUUUUCCAUAUAAGGACAUUGUAAUCUAUUAGCAUAUACCAAAUUUAUCAUAAAAUAUAACUUAUAGUUUAUUCCAAUUAAAUUGCUUGCAUUUUAACACAGAAUAAAUGUUAUUAAUUUGAUAAAGUGCUGAUAGAUUUAUAUGAUUACAGUGCGUUAAUUUUUCGGAAUUAUAUAAUGGCAUAAUUAUCAUUGAUUUUUGUGUUUAUUAUAUGCACUUGUAUGAUUAACAAUGCGAAAGAUUCAGGAUACCUUCGGGACCCGUCUUGAAACACGGACCAAGGAGUCUAACAUAUGUGCAAGUUAUUGGGAUAUAAACCUAAUAGCGUAAUUAACUUGACUAAUAAUGGGAUUAGUUUUUUAGCUAUUUAUAGCUAAUUAACACAAUCCCGGGGCGUUCUAUAUAGUUAUGUAUAAUGUAUAUUUAUAUUAUUUAUGCCUCUAACUGGAACGUACCUUGAGCAUAUAUGCUGUGACCCGAAAGAUGGUGAACUAUACUUGAUCAGGUUGAAGUCAGGGGAAACCCUGAUGGAAGACCGAAACAGUUCUGACGUGCAAAUCGAUUGUCAGAAUUGAGUAUAGGGGCGAAAGACCAAUCGAACCAUCUAGUAGCUGGUUCCUUCCGAAGUUUCCCUCAGGAUAGCUGGUGCAUUUUAAUAUUAUAUAAAAUAAUCUUAUCUGGUAAAGCGAAUGAUUAGAGGCCUUAGGGUCGAAACGAUCUUAACCUAUUCUCAAACUUUAAAUGGGUAAGAACCUUAACUUUCUUGAUAUGAAGUUCAAGGUUAUGAUAUAAUGUGCCCAGUGGGCCACUUUUGGUAAGCAGAACUGGCGCUGUGGGAUGAACCAAACGUAAUGUUACGGUGCCCAAAUUAACAACUCAUGCAGAUACCAUGAAAGGCGUUGGUUGCUUAAAACAGCAGGACGGUGAUCAUGGAAGUCGAAAUCCGCUAAGGAGUGUGUAACAACUCACCUGCCGAAGCAACUAGCCCUUAAAAUGGAUGGCGCUUAAGUUGUAUACCUAUACAUUACCGCUAAAGUAGAUGAUUUAUAUUACUUGUGAUAUAAAUUUUGAAACUUUAGUGAGUAGGAAGGUACAAUGGUAUGCGUAGAAGUGUUUGGCGUAAGCCUGCAUGGAGCUGCCAUUGGUACAGAUCUUGGUGGUAGUAGCAAAUAAUCGAAUGAGACCUUGGAGGACUGAAGUGGAGAAGGGUUUCGUGUGAACAGUGGUUGAUCACGAGUUAGUCGGUCCUAAGUUCAAGGCGAAAGCCGAAAAUUUUCAAGUAAAACAAAAAUGCCUAACUAUAUAAACAAAGCGAAUUAUAAUACACUUGAAUAAUUUUGAACGAAAGGGAAUACGGUUCCAAUUCCGUAACCUGUUGAGUAUCCGUUUGUUAUUAAAUAUGGGCCUCGUGCUCAUCCUGGCAACAGGAACGACCAUAAAGAAGCCGUCGAGAGAUAUCGGAAGAGUUUUCUUUUCUGUUUUAUAGCCGUACUACCAUGGAAGUCUUUCGCAGAGAGAUAUGGUAGAUGGGCUAGAAGAGCAUGACAUAUACUGUUGUGUCGAUAUUUUCUCCUCGGACCUUGAAAAUUUAUGGUGGGGACACGCAAACUUCUCAACAGGCCGUACCAAUAUCCGCAGCUGGUCUCCAAGGUGAAGAGUCUCUAGUCGAUAGAAUAAUGUAGGUAAGGGAAGUCGGCAAAUUAGAUCCGUAACUUCGGGAUAAGGAUUGGCUCUGAAGAUUGAGAUAGUCGGGCUUGAUUGGGAAACAAUAACAUGGUUUAUGUGCUCGUUCUGGGUAAAUAGAGUUUCUAGCAUUUAUGUUAGUUACUUGUUCCCCGGAUAGUUUAGUUACGUAGCCAAUUGUGGAACUUUCUUGCUAAAAUUUUUAAGAAUACUAUUUGGGUUAAACCAAUUAGUUCUUAUUAAUUAUAACGAUUAUCAAUUAACAAUCAAUUCAGAACUGGCACGGACUUGGGGAAUCCGACUGUCUAAUUAAAACAAAGCAUUGUGAUGGCCCUAGCAGUAGUGGUUGACUCACCGUGAUUUCCGCGCUUACUUGAAUUUCUUCACUUUGACAUUCAGAGCACUGGGCAGAAAUCACAUUGUGUCAACACCCGCUAGGGCCAUCACAAUGCUUUGU
rnacentral:rRNA from 1 species